rnacentral:rRNA from 1 species
GCGGUCCGCCUUUGGGUGAGAACUGUUCGGCCGCGCCUUUCCUUGUGGGGAACCAGUAUGCGCUUUGCGGUGUGUGCUGGCAAUCCACAACUUUUACUUUGAAAAAAUUAGAGUGUUCAAAGCAGGCAUACGCUCGGAUACAUUAGCAUGGAAUAAUGGAAUAGGACGUGUGGUUCUAUU